GACGUGGACGAGUGCGCGGAGCGACGAGACCGCUGCGCGCCCGGAGUCUGCAUCAACACCGAGGGCGGCUUCCUGUGCGAUUGCGACGCCGGCUACCAGCGCAGCGACGACGGACACUCCUGCAUCGAUCGAAGGACGGGAAUGUGCCAUAGAUCCUUGGUCUCGGGCAGAUGCACGCCCGAGCCGUGGCCGAGGUUCAUGUCUUCCACGCCGGCGUUGCCGUCGCAAGUUACCAAGGCGCAAUGUUGCUGCACGCUGGGCGUGGCGUGGGGACCGGAGUGUGAGCUGUGCCCGGCGGCGGGCUCGCCGGAGCGGCUGGCGCUGUGCACGCGCACCAACCUGGGCGGAGGUGCGGGC